GAACUACUCCCUUCGUUCGGAAUUAUUUGUCGCAGAAAUGGAUGUAUCUAGAUGUAUUUUAGUUCUAGAUACAUCCAUAUCCAAGACAAGUAAUUCCAAACGGAGGGAGUACAAA
rnacentral:pre_miRNA from 1 species